rnacentral:rRNA from 1 species
GUUGUAUAGUCAAGUAAUUAAGUGCAUGUGGUGGAUGCCUUGGCAGUCAGAGGCGAUGAAAGACGUGAUAGCCUGCGAAAAGCUCCGGGGAGGCGGCAAAUAUCCUUUGAUCCGGAGAUGUCUGAAUGGGGGAACCCACCUACUUUAAGGUAGGUAUUGCAACAUGAAUACAUAGUGUUGCAAGGCGAACGAGGGGAAGUGAAACAUCUCAGUACCCUUAGGAAAAGAAAUCAAUUGAGAUUCCCUCAGUAGCGGCGAGCGAACGGGGAUCAGCCCAUUAAGUUAUGUGUGUUUUAGUGGAACGCUCUGGGAAGUGCGAACGUAGAGGGUGAUAUUCCCGUACACGAAAGGGCACACAUAAUGAUGACGAGUAGGGCGAGGCACGUGAAACCUUGUCUGAAUAUGGGGGGACCAUCCUCCAAGGCUAAAUACUCCUGACUGACCGAUAGUGAACCAGUACCGUGAGGGAAAGGCGAAAAGAACCCCUGUGAGGGGAGUGAAAUAGAUCCUGAAACCGCAUGCAUACAAGCAGUGGGAGCACCUUCGUGGUGUGACUGCGUACCUUUUGUAUAAUGGGUCAGCGACUUAUAUUCAGUAGCGAGGUUAACCGUAUAGGGGAGCCGUAGAGAAAUCGAGUCUUAAUAGGGCGUUUAGUUGCUGGGUAUAGACCCGAAACCAGGCGAUCUAUCCAUGAGCAGGUUGAAGGUUGGGUAACACUAACUGGAGGACCGAACCCACUGUCGUUGAAAAGCCAGGGGAUGACUUGUGGAUAGGGGUGAAAGGCUAAUCAAGCCUGGUGAUAGCUGGUUCUCCCCGAAAGCUAUUUAGGUAGCGCCUCGGACGAAUACCAUAGGGGGUAGAGCACUGUUUCGGCUAGGGGGUCAUCCCGACUUACCAAACCGAUGCAAACUCCGAAUACCUAUGAGUACUAUCCGGGAGACAGACUGCGGGUGCUAACGUCCGUAGUCAAGAGGAAAACAAUCCAGACCGCCAGCUAAGGCCCCAAAAUCAUAGUUAAGUGGGAAACGAUGUGGGAAGGCAUAGACAGCUAGGAGGUUGGCUUAGAAGCAGCCACCCUUUAAAGAAAGCGUAAUAGCUCACUAGUCGAGUCGGCCUGCGCGGAAGAUGUAACGGGGCUAAAACUAUGUGCCGAAGCUGCGGAUNNNNNNNNNUUGACAUUAGUCAAGUGGUAGGGGAGCGUUCUGUAAGCCGAUGAAGGUGUAUUGAGAAGUAUGCUGGAGGUAUCAGAAGUGCGAAUGCUGACGUGAGUAACGACAAAACGGGUGAAAAACCCGUUCGCCGAAAGACCAAGGGUUCCAGUCCAACGUUAA